rnacentral:rRNA from 1 species
AGACGUCUACAUUAGAUACCCGGGUAGUCCUAGCCGUAAACGAUACUCGCUAGGUGUCGGCCACGGUGCGACCGUUGUCGGUGCCGUAGGGAAGCCGUGAAGCGAGCCACCUGGGAAGUACGGCCGCAAGGCUGAAACUUAAAGGAAUUGGCGGGGGAGCACAACAACGGGUGGAGCUUGCGGUUUAAUUGGAUUCAACGCCGGAAAUCUUACCGGGACCGACAGCAACAUGAAGGCCAAGCUGAAGACUUUGCCGGAUUAGCUG